GAUGAACGCUGGCGGCGUGCCUAAUACAUGCAAGUCGAGCGAACAGACGAGGAGCUUGCUCCUCUGACGUUAGCGGCGGACGGGUGAGUAACACGUGGAUAGCCUACCUAUAAGACUGGGAUAACUUCGGGAAACCGGAGCUAAUACCGGAUAAUAUAUUGAACCGCAUGGUUCAAUAGUGAAAGACGGUUUUGCUGUCACUUAUAGAUGGAUCCGCGCCGCAUUAGCUAGUUGGUAAGGUAACGGCUUACCAAGGCAACGAUGCGUAGCCGACCUGAGAGGGUGAUAGGCCACACUGGAACUGAGACACGGUCCAGACUCCUACGGGAGGCAGCAGUAGGGAAUCUUCCGCAAUAGGCGAAAGCUUGACGGAGCAACGCCGCGUGAGUGAUGAAGGUCUUCGGAUCGUAAAACUCUGUUAUUAGGGAAGAACAAAUGUGUAAGUAACUAUGCACGUCUUGACGGUACCUAAUCAGAAAGCCACGGCUAACUACGUG
rnacentral:rRNA from 1 species